AGACACUGUGUCAGAUGAUGAAGGUUUGGUCAAGUCUUUGGACGAUCAAACCAGUGUGAAAAGUGGAGAGCUCUCUGACUCCAGCUUGUCCUUCAAGAGUGAUCGGUCAAAAGACUAUAUCACUAAUUUCAACAACACAUCUCCCCCCAGCAGCCAAGACCUUUCUGCCUCAGAGUUGGAGGACAUUGACCAUAAUGAAGAAUCGGACGAGUCUUCAGAUGAUCUGGAAAAGACGGUCGUGGAGUGUGGUGUCUGAAGGUGGAUGGAAACAUCGUUGAGCAGCUACUUCUACUGAUCUUUUGAUAAAUCUGACUGCAGCUGCUGCUUCCACCUGUCGUUACCCUGCAUCGCUAUUCUACGCAUAAUGAUUUAUACCGCUGUGAUUUUUUAGCUCAGAUCAUUAAUUUGGCCUCUGAUAUGUGUAUAUAUAUGUAUUUUUAUACUUUUAUACAUUUCAAUCACUGAAUCCUUCAAAUCAGUGAAUAAUAAAAUAAUGCUAAUUUAAUGC